rnacentral:rRNA from 1 species
ACUCUGUGCGCUUCACGGAUGAGCACACUGGAGCAAUCGAUAAGGAAGUUUGCCGAGGAACCGACGAAUAGUAUGAUUAAACCAGAAAUAGGAACAAGUUUCGAUUCGUUGGGCGAGGCAUACGACUUCUACAACCUGUAUUCAUGGGAAGUUGGAUUCGGUAUUAGAUAUGGGGAAAGCUGA